rnacentral:rRNA from 1 species
UACGUAGGUGGCAAGCGUUAUCCGGAUUUACUGGGUGUAAAGGGCGUGUAGGCGGGACUGCAAGUCAGAUGUGAAAUUCCAGGGCUCAACCCUGGAACUGCAUUUGAAACUGUGGUUCUUGAGUGAUGGAGAGGCAGGCGGAAUUCCGUGUGUAGCGGUGAAAUGCGUAGAUAUACGGAGGAACACCAGUGGCGAAGGCGGCCUGCUGGACUGUAACUGACACUGAGGUGCGAAAGCGUGGGUAGCAA